GGAUGGAUUUUGUCUGCUUGUCUUCCAAAAGCUAAGUGUCGGGGCCAGUGGUUGGGAGAAGGGGAAAAGCCUUUACUAUCACAGGAGGCAAUCUGAUGUCAGCUUAGCGGAGAGGUCUGUAGUGGGACAGGCUCCCUGGAAGUAAAGGGAGAGGGUUUCUCCUCAGCCUCACCAGAGCCUUUGCCGGGCAGGGCAGUUCCUACCCAUCUCCACAUUCUCGUGAACUUUGCGUCAUCUGCCUUCCUCGACUUGAAGUUGUCACGGCUCUUUCCCCCGUGGAGCUUGCCUUCAGGUCCGGAGCUGUAGCCGCAGUCACCUGGCAGUCCGCUUCCUUCUCUAGGCUUGCUGAGCCUCUCGAGCAUCCUCCUAACUGCUUUGGCCCUAACUUCCUUUAAUGAGUUGCAUUUAAUCAUCACGUGCUGUUGUCAUAGGGCUUCCUUUCCCUUGGCCUCAUUGGCCUCUGGCUCGUCUUGUGCUAGGACUCUCGGGUCCCUAAAGGGAAAGUGCCAAGCAGUUGCAACUUGUCUCUGUGUUAUGUCAUCUGUGUCUAUGUUAUGGUGUGUGUGUCCAUUGUCUUCCACGGCAUAGGCCUUUGUUACAUCUCAAUGCUUUAUCGGCUCUCUUCUGUGCCAUGUUCUACUCACAUUCCUUGCCGGAUAUCCCUUAUUCCAGCAUCUUUACAUUUUUACUCUUUGAGACAGGAAUGUCUCACAGGGACAAGAUGUUCUCAUCCAAUCUUCCUUCUCACUAUCAGCUUUGGUAGUGCUUUUUUUUCCAUUUUCUUGGACUUCUAGAGGGAGCAUCUUACACCCUCCUCACGUGACUGCAGUAGUUCUAUAGGUUCCAUCUUCUCAAAGGGUACAGGGCUCAAUAAGUAAUCUUCCAGAGAGUUUUCUUAAGUCGUGGUUUAUAUUGUAUGUUCCUAUGUUGGCUUAUAUUGUAUGUACUUACAUACAGUAUAAGUACGUACAGUAUAAGCCAGCAUAGGUACAUGCAAUGUAAGUGCAUCGCCUUAUAUUGUCUGUACUUACACUGCAUGUAAGCAUGUCGCCUUAUAUUGUGUGUACUUACACUCUGUGUACACUAGCACUGUAUGCGUCAGCUUAUAUUGUGUGUAGACUGUACCACUUAUGAUCGGAGCUGCCCUGCCCUAUAGUCCCAGUUAGGUAGAACAGUUAUAACAACUUUACUGUUCAUCUGUCUUUUGUGGGAUUUUGGGUAGAAAAUUCAUCAGUCCAGAGUGGGGACAAGUCCUAGCUGUCAGAUAGCCACUUGUUGACCCUUCCUGUUGUCUCACAGGUCGCCGAGGCUGCUGCUUUCCCCAGGAUCUGCCAUUUAGCUCAAGGAGCGGCAGCCAGAGAUGUGUCAAAGCACCUUCUUCAGCAUCUCAGGGAAGGGCCACAGUGAGCGUGUUUUGCAACUCAUUGUUAAAUUGAGAAUAAAAAAUCCCCAGCUGCCUUCCA